CAGCUCUCACGGUGUUUCCUGCUAAUCUCCCUUUCUGGCUAUUAUUCAGCUACCGCGAAUCCUCCUCAAGCUUCCAGCUUCCUUUUAGCUGUAGAAAGAGAAUGAAAAAAAUGUACCCUGAGACCCUGGAUUUUUUUUUUCUUCCUUUUCUGUUGCCAGUGAAUCUGUUUGAAAAGCAGCUGGCGCAGGCCGCAGAAAUGUGUGCCAGCACUAAUGGAGACGCAGGAGCCGCGCUGCAGGGCAUCCAGGCACCGCCAAACAUGGGCUUACUGUGGGUCCGCCCUCCCGGGGUGACCUGCCGGUGACACGCGUUUCGGACCUGCAGAGGGAGUCUGGAGCGUUGGAAAUGUUUCCCCUCUUCUUGAUUUUCUUUGGAGGCCCCAUACACUGUAUUAGUUCCACGAUGCAAAGUGCUGCUUCCAAGCAGGUUAACCGGAGCAGACUUCAUCUCGCCCCUCCCCGCAUUUCCUUUCAGGAAAUUCAGGAAGAUGCUCUCCAUAAACUCCAUUUUGAGGAACGGAGGUUUCAGCUGCCACCACUUGUGUUUCUAGCUCACUCCCUCUCCGACAAUCCUCUCUCAGAGGCAUCCGUCCGGUCUCUGCUAAAAUGUCACCUUCCCAAAGACCUUUCCUUGCUGUCUUAUUUAAACUGGCAGGUUCCCCUCCUUCAUCCUGGCAUCAUUUACCCCUGGUUCUUGUCACCACCUGUCACGCCAUAUAUUUUCACCUUAUUUAUUGCCAGCGCCCUCUCCCCCGCCCGCCCGCACUACAAAAUAAGCUCCAUGAGGGAGCUUUUGUCUGUUUAGCUCACUAAUGUAUCCUCAAUGUCCACAAAAGUGUCUAGCACAUAAUCAACACUUCACAAACAGGUGUUGAAUGAAUAAAUCCAUCAAGCAUUUCA
rnacentral:lncRNA from 13 species